UAUGGCAAAUCUCAUCCAUUCUUGCACUUCCUGAACCCUGGAUCCUCUCCCUUCAUGACUCUGGAAACAAGUAACAGAAUCAAUCAGAAGUGGAUUCAAGAUUAAAAAGGUGCUUUAUAAUAAGUAAAAAUGACUGGUAUCAUCUACAGCCUGGAACUCAGAGAUAAAGGACACCGGAUUGAAGACUGAGAGUGGGCCCAGGCUUGGGUUCCCCAUCAUGCCUUCUAUUCUGAGUCUAAGAGAGAGGGUCAUCCCUCAAGAGCUGUAGACUUUUUACAGCAAAGCCUGUUGGAGGAAACUGUGGUUGCCAAACAAAACUGUGGCUCCCCUCACCACCCAGACUCUUGUAACCUCCCGGGUCGGCCUUUGCACUUCCCCACCAAGAAGCAAAAACACACCAUCUGCUUUAAAAGAAGCACUCAUCGGAGCCAACCUUGAAGAACACAGAGUCAGAGGGAAGACAUGAGUAGUGAGAGAACCGACAGCUGGACGGGCCACGUGGCGCUUGGAACUCCUCCUUAAGUCAUUCCUCUUGCUUUGUUCCUUCGGAGAAGAAGGCUGCCUCAGACUCUACUUUUCUCCCUGGUUUGGCUUCCAAGGUAGGCAAGUGUCCUGUACCACAGAGCGCCUGAGUUAAUGAUUCAUCUAACUGGGGUAAAAGCCAUGUGCCAGUGCAACGCUUCAUCUUAUUCUAUUUUUGCAACCUAGUCAGCUCUUGGACACUGAUGACCAAGCUCAAGGUUGUGUCCCUGGACUAUCUAGAACACGUGGAUAUGUUAGGUUCGCUGUGCUGCAAGGAGCAAUAGAGACCUUCCCUUUUUAAUAGCACUGUGAUUUUUAUUGAUAACCCUGAAAGGAAAAAAAAAAAAGAAAAAAGUGACUCAAAGAGACAAGAAAGCAU